rnacentral:rRNA from 1 species
UUUAUGGAGAGUUUGAUCCUGGCUCAGGAUGAACGCUGGCGGCGUGCCUAAUACAUGCAAGUCGAGCGAACGGACGAGAAGCUUGCUUCUCUGAUGUUAGCGGCGGACGGGUGAGUAACACGUGGAUAACCUACCUAUAAGACUGGGAUAACUUCGGGAAACCGUAGCUAAUACCGGAUAAUAUUUUGAACCGCAUGGUUCAAAAGUGAAAGACGGUCUUGCUGUCACUUAUAGAUGGAUCCGCGCUGCAUUAGCUAGUUGGUAAGGUAACGGCUUACCAAGGCAACGAUGCAUAGCCGACCUGAGAGGGUGAUCGGCCACACUGGAACUGAGACACGGUCCAGACUCCUACGGGAGGCAGCAGUAGGGAAUCUUCCGCAAUGGGCGAAAGCCUGACGGAGCAACGCCGCGUGAGUGAUGAAGGUCUUCGGAUCGUAAAACUCUGUUAUUAGGGAAGAACAUAUGUGUAAGUAACUGUGC